rnacentral:snoRNA from 1 species
GCGGCAGUGAUGAUUGGCGCAGGGGUACGGACCUCAGCUAGAUCAUGGGAGCUGAUUGUGAGCUUUUGAGUUCCAGUUUAGCUGACAUGUGGUCGGCUUUCUGGAGACUGGCUCACAAGAGAACUUCGCCUAAUACUGAGCUGC